GGGGAUGUUAGUACUGUCUGUCAGAGACAGUCAGGUAGAGGGGAUGUUAGUACUGUCUGUCAGAGACAGUCAGGUAGAGGGGAUGUUAGUACUGUCUGUCAGAGACAGUCAGGUAGAGGGGAUGUUAGUACUGUCUGUCAGAGACAGUCAGGUAGAGGG